AUUGAACGCUGGCGGCAGGCCUAACACAUGCAAGUCGAGCGGAUGAGGAGAGCUUGCUCUCUGAUUUAGCGGCGGACGGGUGAGUAAUGCCUAGGAAUCUGCCUGGUAGUGGGGGAUAACGUUCCGAAAGGAACGCUAAUACCGCAUACGUCCUACGGGAGAAAGCAGGGGACCUUCGGGCCUUGCGCUAUCAGAUGAGCCUAGGUCGGAUUAGCUAGUUGGUGAGGGAAUGGCGCACCAAGGCGACGAUCCGUAACUGGUCGGAGAGGAUGAUCAGUCACACUGGAACUGAGACACGGUCCAGACUCCUACGGGAGGCAGCAGUGGGAAAUAUUGGACAAUGGGCGAAAGCCUGAUCCAGCCAUGCCGCGUGUGUGAAGAAGGUCUUCGGAUUGUAAAGCACUUUAAGUUGGGAGGAAGGGUUGUAGAUUAAUACUCUGCAAUUUUGACGUUACCAACAGAAUAAGCACCGGCUAACUUCGUGCCAGCAGCCGCCGUAACAC
rnacentral:rRNA from 1 species